UGAGUAACCUGCCCUUAAGUCUGGGAUAAGCCUGGGAAACCGGGUCUAAUACCGGAUAUGACUUCCCGCCGCAUGGUGGGGGGUGGAAAGCUUUUGUGCUUUUGGAUGGACUCGCGGCCUAUCAGCUUGUUGGUGAGGUAAUGGCUCACCAAGGCGACGACGGGUAGCCGGCCUGAGAGGGUGACCGGCCACACUGGGACUGAGACACGGCCCAGACUCCUACGGGAGGCAGCAGUGGGGAAUAUUGCACAAUGGGCGCAAGCCUGAUGCAGCGACGCCGCGUGAGGGAUGACGGCCUUCGGGUUGUAAACCUCUUUCAGUAGGGAAGAAGCGAAAGUGACGGUACCUGCAGAAGAAGCGCCGGCUAACUACGUGCCAGCAGCCGCGGUAAUACGUAGGGCGCAAGCGUUAUCCGGAAUUAUUGGGCGUAAAGAGCUCGUAGGCGGUUUGUCGCGUCUGCCGUGAAAGUCCGGGGCUCAACUCCGGAUCUGCGGUGGGUACGGGCAGACUAGAGUGAUGUAGGGGAGACUGGAAUUCCUGGUGUAGCGGUGAAAUGCGCAUAUAUCAGGAGGAACACCGAUGGCGAAGGCAGGUCUCUGGGCAUUAACUGACGCUGAGGAGCGAAAACAUGAGGAGCGAACAGGAUUAGAUACCCUGG
rnacentral:rRNA from 1 species